rnacentral:tRNA from 1 species
UCCUUUGUAGCUUAGUUGGUAAAGAACCUGCCUGUAAUGCAGGAGACCUGGGUUCAAUUCUUGGGUCAGGAA